GGACAAAGUCAGAUUCCGGAACGAGGUCAUCUAUAAAAUCACAAAACUGUUUGAUGGGAAUAAGAAGUCCGUCACCUGGGACAAGAAAAACCUGGGCGAUUUACUCAAAAUUCUAGAAAACUAAUUUGAAAACCUUAAUUCCUGUGAGAGGAGACCAAGAGGCUGUAUCCCAGAGGUGGAAAUGAUAAUGGUCCAAAGUCCAACGCUUUCAAAAGAGGUGAUGCUCAGGAGAUCGUCAGAGACAUGCUACUGCGUCAAAACAUUCCAAUUGGUGAUAUGGUUAAGAACUACUUCAAACAGCUGGACGACUUUCUUUCACGUGAGCGCUUCAGUUUGUGCUCGUGGGAGGUCGUGAGAGCUGAAAUGUGGAGCAUCCCGAGGGAUUUUUACAAUAAAUCAAAAAUGCCAAGAACACACGUGUGAGAGUGGCACUACUUUUUGUUCAUUUCUGCAAAACAUGUAAUUUUGAUGAUUAAAUUAAAUGUACCACUGUAAGCUUCAUAUGUGUAUGUUAUUUAUCCGUGUUGCAAAUGAUUUCCAUGUCGGCUAUGAUAUUUAAAUUAGGAUACAAACACGCCUUACAUUGGUUGAAAUUGUGCUAGCAAAUUUGUAAAAUUCUGUGGUGUGAUGUAACCUUGAAAUACAACGACUUUUUCGUUUAAAUGUUAUACUAAAUGAGAUGUUAUU